GACGAACGCUGGCGGCGUGCUUAACACAUGCAAGUCGAACGGUGAGGCUAGAGCUUGCUGGAGUGGAUCAUUGGGGAAGGGGUGAGAAACACGUGAGCAACAUCCCCCUGUAUCAGUGAUAAACGUUGGGAACACCGUCUAAUACUGGAUACGAUAUUUGUCCGCAUGUGCACCUUCUGGGAAGGUCUUUUGUGGGGGAUGGGAUCGAGGCCUAUCAGCUUGUUUGUGAGGUAAUGAAUGACAAAGGCUACGAAGGAUAGCCGACCUGGGAGGCCGAACGGCCACACUGGGACUGAGACACGGCGCAGACUCCUACCGGACGCAGCAGUGGAGAAUAUUACAGAAUAGGCGAACGUCAGAUGUAGCGAUGCCGCGUGCGGGAAGAUGGGCUUCGGGUUGUGAACCUAUGUCAAAGGAGCAGAAGAGAAAGUGACGGUACCUGCAGAAGAAGCCCCGGCUAACUACGUG
rnacentral:rRNA from 1 species